GACGAACGCUGGCGGCGUGCCUAACACAUGCAAGUCGAACGAAGCAAGAGUCUUCGGAUUCUUACUUAGUGGCGGACGGGUGAGUAACGCGUGAAUAACCUGCCCUUCAGUGUGGAAUAACGUCUGGAAACGGACGGUAAUACCGCAUAACAUCUUAGUGCCGCAUGACACAGAGAUCAAGGGAGCAAUUCGCUGAAGGAUGGAUUCGCGUCCGAUUAGCCAGUUGGCGGGGUAACGGCCCACCAAAGCGACGAUCGGUAGCCGGACUGAGAGGUCGAACGGCCACAUUGGGACUGAGACACGGCCCAG
rnacentral:rRNA from 1 species